rnacentral:rRNA from 1 species
GACAGAGGGUGCAAACGUUGUUCGGAAUCACUGGGCAUAAAGCGCACGUAGGCGGUCCGUUAAGUCAGGUGUGAAAGCCCCCGGCUCAACCGGGGAAUUGCACCUGAUACUGGCGGGCUCGAGGAUGGCAGGGGUGAGCGGAACUCCAGGUGGAGCGGUGAAAUGCGUAGAUAUCUGGAGGAAUACCGGUGGCGAAGGCGGCAUCCUGGACCGGCAUUGACGCUGAUCAGCGAAAGCCAGGGGAGCAAACGGG